GAUGAACGCUGGCGGCGUGCUUAACACAUGCAAGUCGAACGGAAAGGCCCAAGCUUGCUUGGGUACUCGAGUGGCGAACGGGUGAGUAACACGUGGGUGAUCUGCCCUGCACUUCGGGAUAAGCCUGGGAAACUGGGUCUAAUACCGGAUAGGACCACAUUUUGGGUGGUGUGGUGGAAAGUUUUUCGGUGUGGGAUGAGCUCGCGGCCUAUCAGCUUGUUGGUGGGGUAAUUGCCUACCAAGGCGUCGACGGGUAGCCGGCCUGAGAGGGUGUACGGCCACAUUGGGACUGAGAUGCGGCCAAGACUCGGACGGGAGGCAGCAAUGGGGAAUAUUGGACAAUGGGCGGAAGCCUGAUGCAGCGACGCCGCGUGGGGGAUGACGGCUGUCGGGUUGGAAACUCCUAUCGCUAGGGACGAAGCGUUUUUGUGACGGUACCUGGAGAAGAAGCAACGGCUAACUACGUG
rnacentral:rRNA from 1 species